GCAGACCACAGGUCAUUUUGAGGAGGACUUUAUGUCCAGAUGCAGAAAGGGCCCAAUCUGGUGGAUGAACCACAUGCCAGCUUCUGGGUGCAGGCACAGUGCCACAUCUUCCAUCACUUCCUGAUAUGUGCCCCACCAGCACUGAAGAGACAGCCUGGAAACAGGACAAUAUAAAGGCUGAGAAGGGUGAGAUGGUGAGUGCCAGCUUCCAAAUGACCCUGAGUCCACCCCCAUGGUAGCCUUCAACCUUUAGGAAUCGAAUGCUACACCAAGAAGAUGGACAACAGGGCACUCAACUCAACUUCACAGCCAAUGAGUUGACAUGCAAGCAGAUGAUGGUGGCAGGCUUUAAGAAGGAGCAUCAGAAGGCAGGCAGUUUUUCUUCAGCCUCAGCCAGGCCUUGGAGCUGGACCAGGCCAUCCACUUCACCAGAGGUGCCAGCAACACCAUCAGUGAGCUCUCUGCCAAUCUGUCCCAACAAGGCCUGGACCCCAUGAUGCACCUGUUAUUGUUGUCUCAGGGACACCAGUCCAACGUCCUGGACAUCAUCCAUGUACCCAAGGAAGCUCUUGCCAAAGUCAUGGAAAGCAGGCAACAUGUGGCAGAAAGGAAGCAGAAGUGCAGAGGCUGAUGACAUCAGGAUCACGGUAACAGGAUUUAUUUGGCCACUUUGGCUGAAAUUCACCACUUCCAUCCAACUAAAUUGAGAAACUUGAAAUCACAAAUGCAGUAUUUCUUGCAACAAGAGAUACUAUUUUUCCAAAAAGUCACCCAGGAAU
rnacentral:lncRNA from 1 species